rnacentral:rRNA from 1 species
UGGGGAAUAUUGGACAAUGGGCGGAAGCCUGAUCCAGCCAUGCCGCGUGUGUGAAGAAGGCCUUUUGGUUGUAAAGCACUUUAAGCGAGGAGGAGGCUACUUGGAUUAAUACUCUAGGAUAGUGGACGUUACUCGCAGAAUAAGCACCGGCUAACUCUGUGCCAGCAGCCGCGGUAAUACAGAGGGUGCGAGCGUUAAUCGGAUUUACUGGGCGUAAAGCGUGCGUAGGCGGCUUCUUAAGUCGGAUGUGAAAUCCCUGAGCUUAACUUAGGAACUGCAUUCGAUACUGGGAAGCUAGAGUAUGGGAGAGGAUGGUAGAAUUCCAGGUGUAGCGGUGAAAUGCGUAGAGAUCUGGAGGAAUACCGAUGGCGAAGGCAGCCAUCUGGCCUAAUACUGACGCUGAGGUACGAAAGCAUGGGGAGCAAACAGG